GGUCCGACACUCCGACAUAAAUAACUGGUGGGUUAUGUAGAUUGAACCUUGUUACCCGUCCCUAAACGCUAAACAGACUGUAAACAGGCAAAACCUUCACUCCCUAAACCUAAUUUCCUCAAUUCAGAAUUUCAGCAGGACAACAACGCAGCAGCCAUUCUUCCAUUUCAGAUUUUCUUUGUUUCUGCUGCUUUCUGGGAAGGACAACGCACUCUUCCCGCUCCAGAUUCCAGGCUACGCACCUCUCGGAUUCUGCGAGGUCCGUGACAGACAACAACACAACGUGCGGCACCUACGGCGAUAUCCGCGACAUCUUCCUCUCUCUCUCUCUCCCGCUCGGCGUUCUUGGUUUCUGGCGAGUGGUGAUAGGCAGCGUCACCUGAUUUCAUUCUCAAAGACUCAAAGUGCAUUUGAAAUAUUCACUUGAGUAGGAACCUCUAUUGCUCAACUUUGGGAUCACCCCCUGAUUUUCCCUAAAGAAACCAUAGCAAAUAAGAAGCUUUAAGCUCACUAAUUCUUACUCUGAAGCUCUUCUGUGUUUAGAAUUUCAAAUGGCAUUUAGAGGGAGAGGACGAGGACGUGGUGGGUUUGGCGGUGGCUUUAGAAUAGCUAAGCAGGAACCAUUUGAACUAUUUCCAACAAUCAAUGAUCAAGAUUUGGGUAAUGCAUCAAAUGUGACUGAAAGAUUAUCUUUAGCAGUUUGGUAUACGAAGUUGCAGAAGUACUGGAAUUCCUCGCCUUACUAUCUUGGAGAUGAAAGUGAUAAUUCAAAGAAGACAAAAAGUAUGGAUAUAGAAAGGUUUUCAGACAGGAACUCGGAUAAAGCCAAGAAAAGACUCCCAAUUUCGCAUUUCAUUACAGUGGACCCUGCCUAUUUCCCCGGUGAAUUAGCUAAAGGUGAAAGGGCAGGGAGGCAUGCUGCGAAAAGGGUUCGCUGGAAUCAAGAAAAAGAUCUGCAAAAAUUGGAUCUCUUUGAGAAGCUUGAACAGAAGUCCAAGGGCCAGGAUGAAAAGAAAACAAAUGAAGGUGAAGAAGAUGAGGAAGAAAAUGAGAAUGUUGAAGAGGAUGAGGAUGAGGCUAGCGAUGGUGAUGACUAUAUUCAGAAUAUUGAUUUCGAUGACGAUGAAGAUGACUUCAACCUGGCUGAUGACAAUGAUGAUGAGGGUACCUUCUGAAAGGUACUGCUUGAAAUCCUUGAAUGAUUUUGCUAGGCCUACUACAUCUUGUUAUCAAUAUUCAGGUACACUCUUGCUAAUCCUCGUACCACGCAGACAAUAAGGAUUGCCAUCCUUUUCCUCCAUUGGAACUCGACCGUGUAAGCAAAGAAAGCUGCAGUGGAACUGGAAGAGAGAAAAGAAAUGGAGGAAGGUGAUGGGAAUACACAGAGCUGAGGGUUCACUUCACUUUUAAGGAAUGGGACUUGGUUGGUGGACACAGGAUCUUCUCGGUAUAUGCCUCAAGCAUUAACUUCGUUUUUUUGCCUUUUUCUUUUUUAAUCAUUUUUUCUGCCCAGUUAUUACUAUUUCUAAAUUAUAUUCUUUUUAGGAGCAUGGUAUAAUAUUAUUACAAUUAAGCAUAUGUACACAUAGACAAAGCCGUGCAUGUGUCAUUGCCUAACUGUCGCACAUAAAACUAAAGUUAGUCAAGUUGUUGUAACCAAUGUUUAAUUGACAAGGUUUCAUUGAGGUUUUUUCUUCAA